UACGUAGGGUGCAAGCGUUAAUCGGAAUUACUGGACGUAAAGCGUGCGCAGGCGGUCUGUUAAGACCGAUGUGAAAUCCCCGGGCUUAACCUGGGAACUGCAUUGGUGACUGGCAGGCUUUGAGUGUGGCAGAGGGAGGUAGAAUUCCACGUGUAGCAGUGAAAUGCGUAGAGAUGUGGAGGAAUACCGAUGGCGAAGGCAGCCUCCUGGGCCAACACUGACGCUCAUGCACGAAAGCGUGGGGAGCAAACAGG
rnacentral:rRNA from 1 species